CCUACGUGCGGCAGCAGUGGGGAAUAUUGCACAAUGGGGGAAACCCUGAUGCAGCGACGCCGCGUGAGUGAAGAAGUAAUUCGUUAUGUAAAGCCCUAUCAGCAGGGAAGAAAAUGACGGUACCUGAGUAAGAAGCCGCGGCUAAAUACGAGGCAGCAGCCGCGGGAAUACGGAGGGGGCAAGCGUUAUCCGGAUUUACUGGGUGUAAGGGGAGCGUAGACGGCAGUGCAAGUCUGGAGGGAAAGGCGGGGGCUCAACCCACGGACUGCUCUGGAAACUGUAAGGCUGGAGUGCAGGAGAGGUAAGUGGAAUGCCUAGUGUAGCGGUGAAAUGCGUAGAUAUUAGGAGGAACACCAGUGGCGAAGGCGGCUUACUGGACUGUAACUGACGUUGAGGCUCGAAAGCGUGGGGAUCAAACAGGAUUAGAUACCCCAGUAGUC
rnacentral:rRNA from 1 species